rnacentral:ncRNA from 1 species
UUUUCCCGGAGAGAGCCGCAUCGGCCGCCGAAGAGGCAAACCUGUCACAAAGGUCGGACAGGCGAAACUUUCAGGCAAAAGGACGGGGAA